UAGAGUUUGAUCAUGGCUCAGAACGAACGCUGGCGGCGUGCCUAACACAUGCAAGUCGAACGGAGUCAUUUUGAAGUAGCAAUACGGAUGGAUGGCUUAGUGGCGCACGGGUGAGUAACACGUAGGUAACCUGCCCUUAAGAGGGGGAAAACCCGCCGAAAGGCGAGCUAAUACCGCAUAAGACCACGAACUGAGAUGUUUGUGGUAAAAGGAGCAAUCCACUUAAGGAUGGGCCUGCGGCCUAUCAGGUAGUUGGUGAGGUAACGGCUCACCAAGCCUAAGACGGGUAGCCGGUCUGAGAGGACGGACGGCCACACUGGAACUGAGACACGGUCCAGACUCCUACGGGAGGCAGCAGUGGGGAAUUUUGCACAAUGGGCGAAAGCCUGAUGCAGCGACGCCGCGUGGAGGAUGAAGGCCUUCGGGUUGUAAACUCCUUUUGCAGGGGAAAAUAAUGAUGGUACCCUGCGAAUAAGCCACGGCUAACUCUGUGCCAGCAGCCGCGGUAAUAC
rnacentral:rRNA from 1 species